rnacentral:rRNA from 1 species
GUUCGAACGAUGACCCGCUUCGGUGGGGGAUUAGUGGCGAACGGGUGAGUAACACGUGGGCAAUCUGCCCUGCACUCUGGGACAAGCCCUGGAAACGGGGUCUAAUACCGGAUACGACCACUUCAGGCAUCUGAUGGUGGUGGAAAGCUCCGGCGGUGCAGGAUGAGCCCGCGGCCUAUCAGCUAGUUGGUGAGGUAACGGCUCACCAAGGCGACGACGGGUAGCCGGCCUGAGAGGGCGACCGGCCACACUGGGACUGAGACACGGCCCAGACUCCUACGGGAGGCAGCAGUGGGGAAUAUUGCACAAUGGGCGAAAGCCUGAUGCAGCGACGCCGCGUGAGGGAUGACGGCCUUCGGGUUGUAAACCUCUUUCAGCAGGGAAGAAGCGAAAGUGACGGUACCUGCAGAAGAAGCGCCGGCUAACUACGUGCCAGCAGCCGCGGUAAUACGUAGGGCGCAAGCGUUGUCCGGAAUUAUUGGGCGUAAAGAGCUCGUAGGCGGCCUGUCACGUCGGAUGUGAAAGCCCGGGGCUUAACCCCGGGUCUGCAUUCGAUACGGGCAGGCUAGAGUUCGGUAGGGGAGAUCGGAAUUCCUGGUGUAGCGGUGAAAUGCGCAGAUAUCAGGAGGAACACCGGUGGCGAAGGCGGAUCUCUGGGCCGAUACUGACGCUGAGGAGCGAAAGCGUGGGGGAGCGAACAGGAUUAGAUACCCUGGUAGUCCACGCCGUAAACGUUGGGAACUAGGUGUGGGCGACAUUCCACGUCGUCCGUGCCGCAGCUAACGCAUUAAGUCCCCGCCUGGGGAGUACGGCC